UUUUAGUCUCAGUGUGUCUAUCAUCUUCAUCUUCACUUUCUGUUUCACCAUGUUUAUCUUCAUAUGAAAGUUUCCAGAGUCAGAGACCGAUGGAUAUGAAUUCAUUAAAUCCAUUUGGGGUUGUUAAUUUUAGUCUUGGUGAUUUUGAUUUUUUGAGUUUCUUCGAUUAAAUUGUUUGGGUUCUUCCUUUUACUUCAGUGAUUUGAUUUAGUCACAGACAAAUUUGAAUAGUUUUAGGGUUUAAGAGGAGACCGAAAUUUGGUUCCAUCAGUUGCCUCCUCGUAUUAUAUGUCUUUGGGGUAACAAAACUAAAUCUGAAUUUAUUUGAUUUAUGUUGCUCUCAACCAUCCCUUUUCUCUAAGAGUGUUUGGCAUUAAAGGUAUGUUUCUUUGUAUCAUGCAUUCAGAAGGUAACUAGUGCAGGUGGUGGACAUGGAUGGUUUUCUGACAACUUCAAUGGAGCAAAUCUUGAUUGAUUUUAUUGGAUUCUGGCCUGACUUAGCGUGGUGAUGCUGCAUCUCCUCAUGUGUUUGGGUCUAAGCGCAAGCGCAGAUGGUGUUCAUCCUACUGCUGCCAGUGGGGGUUAUCAUGCUUUGCAGGAAUGAGUAUGUGGGAAUGUGAAUGAUUGAUGUUGUGACUGUAUGGUUGGUCAAAUCGAUGAAACCAUUGUCGAGUUGAGUGUACUAUAUUAUGUUUGAAUUGUUAAAUUAUACACCCCAAUUUUUAAUCUCCUAUUAUGCAUAUGAUUGCCAAUAUUUGGUCUACAUUUUAUUCAUUCCCAUUCGGGUGCGUUUUCUGUUGGCAUUUGAAUUUUGUUAUGUUUGUGUUAACAGACCCAAAUAAUGCUUCCAAUAA